ACACUCCUGCGGGAGGCAGCAGUGGGGAAUAUUGGACAAUGGGCGCAAGCCUGAUCCAGCCAUGCCGCGUGAGUGAUGAAGGCCCUAGGGUUGUAAAGCUCUUUCACCGGUGAAGAUAAUGACGGUAACCGGAGAAGAAGCCCCGGCUAACUUCGUGCCAGCAGCCGCGGUAAUACGAAGGGGGCUAGCGUUGUUCGGAUUUACUGGGCGUAAAGCGCACGUAGGCGGACUAUUAAGUCAGGGGUGAAAUCCCGGGGCUCAACCCCGGAACUGCCUUUGAUACUGGUAGUCUUGAGUUCGAGAGGGGUGAGUGGAAUUCCGAGUGUAGGGGUGAAAUUCGUAGAUAUUCGGAGGAACACCAGUGGCGAAGGCGGCUCACUGGCUCGAUACUGACGCUGAGGUGCGAAAGCGUGGGGAGCAAACAGGAUUAGAUACCCUUGUAGUCCCAUGAU
rnacentral:rRNA from 1 species